rnacentral:tRNA from 1 species
GGUAAGGUGGCUCAGUGGUAGGGUGCUUGCCUUGCAUGCAUGAGGCCCUGGGUUCGAUUCCUCAGCACCA